GACAGAGGGUGCAAACGUUUGUUCGGAAUUACUGGGCGUAAAGCGCGUGUAGGCGGCUCGGCAAGUCGGGUGUGAAAGCCCUGGGCUUAACCUAGGAAGUGCACUCGAAACUGCCAAGCUUGAGUUCUGGAGAGGAAGGCGGAAUUCUCGGUGUAGAGGUGAAAUUCGUAGAUAUCGAGAGGAACACCGGUGGCGAAGGCGGCCUUCUGGACAGCAACUGACGCUGAGACGCGAAAGCGUGGGGAGCAAACAGG
rnacentral:rRNA from 1 species